rnacentral:rRNA from 1 species
AUUGCACGCUGGCGGCAGGCCUAACACAUGCAAGUCGAGCGAGCUGCGGACGGGUGAGUAAUGUAUGGGGACUGCCCGAUAGAGUGGGAUAACUACUGGAAACGGUGGCUAAUACCGCAUACUUUCCGCUAACCCAUAUGGGAUUAGCUAGUAGGUGGGGGAAAGGCUCAACUAGGCGACGAUCUCUAGCUGGUCUGAGAGGAUGAUCAGCCACAAUGGGAGUGAGAAACGGCCCAGACUCCGACGGAUGCAGCAGUGGGGAAUAUUGCACAAUGGGCGCAAGCCUUAUGCAGCCAUGCCGCGUGUAUGAAGAAGGCCUUAGGGUUGUAAAGUACUUGCAGCGGGGAGGCGUUACCCGCAGAAGAAGCACCGGCUAACUCCGUGCCAGGCGCGGCGGUAAUUC